CCCAGACUCCUACGGGAGGCAGCAGUGAGGAAUAUUGGUCAAUGGCCGAGAGGCUGAACCAGCCAAGUCGCGUGAGGGAAGACGGCCCUACGGGUUGUAAACCUCUUUUGUCGGGGAGCAAAGCGAGUCACGUGUGACUCAUUGAGAGUACCCGAAGAAAAAGCAUCGGCUAACUCCGUGCCAGCAGCCGCGGUAAUACGGAGGAUGCGAGCGUUAUCCGGAUUUAUUGGGUUUAAAGGGUGCGCAGGCGGAAUGUCAAGUCAGCGGUAAAAUUUCGGGGCUCAACCCCGUCGUGCCGUUGAAACUGGCAGUCUCGAGUUGGAGAGAAGUAUGCGGAAUGCGCGGUGUGGCGGUGAAAUGCAUAGAUAUCACGCAGAACUCCGAUUGCGAAGGCAGCAUACCGGCGCCCGACUGACGCUGAGGCACGAAAGCGUGGGUAUCGAACAGGAUUAGAUACCCCGGUAC
rnacentral:rRNA from 1 species